AGUCUGCAGCCCUGGAAGCGCCCUCAGUUGUGUUUGUACUCUGGGACGGUUGGGCUUGCAGAAAGAGCAUUGGAUAGAGGAAGCCGAGGCAGGCCUGCAAAAAGCAUCAGCAGUUCCAUGUGCUAUAUUCCUCUGACAUCCCUGUACUGUUGCCACGGAGGUAAUGACCAUCCCAAUGUCAUUAUCCAUCCAUCAACAGUCAGAGCAACUCUGCAGUUUGAUAUUCCUUGGCAACCGGAGGGCAGUUGCCAAAUACUAGAAACUGCUACAUAU